rnacentral:snRNA from 1 species
AGUCUGAGGGCGACCUGGCCGUGAUAUGUCACCCCUAUUGGUCACAGGGUUGAUUCAGCUGAUCUGGGGCUAGUGUCCCUUCCCUUUCUCGCCACUCCAGGUGUGUCCCUGUCCAAGUCCAAGAGAAGCUUCCCAGAAUAGCAACGAGCUCCCCUGCUAGAACCUCCAAACAGCUCUCACGACGUUCCCCAGGAAAUUCCCACAGCCCCCAGAAGGAGCUUUCUGUCCCAGGUACAAACACACUGUCACCUCGUGGGGAAGUCUUGGCCCUUU